GCGUCGGUGGUGUAGUGGUAGUAGCACGCGUCCCCGGUAUGGAUUAAACGCGGGUCCGAUUCCCGUCUGAGGCC